CUUGCUUUCUUUGCUGGCGACCGGCGCACGGGUGAGUAACACGUAUCCAACCUGCCCUUUACCCGGGGAUAGCCUUUCGAAAGAAAGAUUAAUACCCGAUAGCAUAAUGAUUCCGCAUGGUUUCAUUAUUAAAGGAUUCCGGUAAAGGAUGGGGAUGCGUUCCAUUAGGUUGUUGGUGAGGUAACGGCCCACCAAGCCUUCGAUGGAUAGGGGUUCUGAGAGGAAGGUCCCCCACAUUGGAACUGAGACACGGUCCAA
rnacentral:rRNA from 1 species